CGAAAUGCGAUAAGUAAUGUGAAUUGCAGAAUUCAGUGAAUCAUCGAAUCUUUGAACGCACCUUGCGCUCCUUGGUAUUCCUUGGAGCAUGCCUGUUUGAGUAUCAUGAAAUCUUCAAAGUAAAUCUUUUGUUAACUCAAUUGGUUUCUACUUUGGUAUUGGAGGUCUUUGCAGCUUCACACCUGCUCCUCUUUGUUCAUUAGCUGGAUCUCAGUGUUAUGCUUGGUUCCACUCGGCGUUAUAAGUUAUCUAUCGCUGAGGACACUGUAAAAGGUGGCCAAGGUAAAUGCAGAUGAACCGCUUCUAAUAGUCCAUUGACUUGGACAAUACUUUUAUGAUCUGAUCUCAAAUCAGGUAGGACUACCCGCUGAACUUAAGC
rnacentral:misc_RNA from 1 species